rnacentral:rRNA from 1 species
UACGGAGGAUGCAAGCGUUAUCCGGAAUGAUUGGGCGUAAAGCGUCCGCAGGUGGCUGUGUAAGUCUGCUGUCAAAGAGCAAAGCUCAACUUUGUAAAGGCAGUGGAAACUACACGGCUAGAGUGCGUUCGGGGCAGAGGGAAUUCCCAGUGUAGCGGUGAAAUGCGUAGAUAUUGGGAAGAACACCGGUGGCGAAAGCGCUCUGCUGGACCUGCACUGACACUGAGGGACGAAAGCUAGGGGAGCGAAAGGG